CUUUUAAGGGCGCUCGGUGAAUGCCUUGGCACUAAGAGACGAUGAAGGACGUGACAGCCUGCGAAAAGUCACGGGGAGCUGGCAAUAAGCUUUGAUCCGUGAAUAUCCGAAUGGGGAAACCCACCACGUAUGUGGUAUCCCAGCCUGAAUACAUAGGGCUGGGAGGUGAACCCGGGGAACUGAAACAUCUAAGUACCCGGAGGAAAGGACAUCAAAUGAGACUCCGCUAGUAGUGGCGAGCGAACGCGGACUAGGCCAAUGACAUUCAAUACGUAACUGGAACGGUGUGGAAAAGCCGGCCAUAGAGGGUGAUAGCCCCGUACAGGUAGAAGUGUUGAAUUGUAUUCGAGUAGGGCGGGACACGUGAAAUCCUGUCUGAACAUGGGAGGACCAUCUUCCAAGCCUAAGUACUACUUAGUGACCGAUAGUGAACAAGUACCGUGAGGGAAAGGUGAAAAGAACCCCGAAGGGGGAGUGAAAUAGAUCUGAAACCGGGCGCUUACAAGCAGUCAGAGCUCAACCAUUAUUGGUUUUAGAGUGAUGGCGUACCUUUUGCAUAAUGGGUCAGCGAGUUAUUCUCUGUGGCAAGCUUAAGCCGAUAGGUGUAGGCGAAGCGAAAGCGAGUCUGAAUAGGGCGAAUUAGUCGUAGGGAAUAGACCCGAAACCGGGUGAUCUAGUCAUGGGCAGGCUGAAGGUGCGGUGAUACGCACUGGAGGGCCGAACUCACCUCUGUUGCAAUAGAGGGGGAUGACCUGUGAUUAGGGGUGAAAGGCCAAUCAAACCCGGAGAUAGCUGGUUCUCCGCGAAAACUAUUUAGGUAGUGCGUCAUAUGCAACUACCGGGGGUAGAGCACUGAAUAGACUAGGGGGAAGCGAUUCCUACCGAAUCUAAUCAAACUCCGAAUACCGGUAAGUUUAGAUAUGGCAGACAGACUGUGGGUGCUAACGUCCAUGGUCGAGAGGGAAACAACCCUGAUCGUCGUCUAAGGUCCCCAAGUUAUAGCUAAGUGGGAAAGGAUGUGGAACGGCCAUGACAGCCAGGAGGUUGGCUUAGAAGCAGCCAUCCUUUAAAGAAAGCGUAACAGCUCACUGGUCUAGUUAAGCUGUUCUGCGCCGAAAAUGUAACGGGUCUAAAGCUAUACACCGAAGACGCGGGCUCCGACGGAUUGGUUUCUGUUGGAGCGGUAGCGGAGCGUUCUGUAAGCCUGUGAAGGUGGAUUCGUGAGAAUCGCUGGAGGUAUCAGAAGUGAGAAUGCUGACAUAAGUAACUAAAAGAGAGAUGAAAGGUCUCUCCGCCGAAAAUCCAAGGUUUCCUACGCAAUGAUAAUCAACGUAGGGUUAGCCGGCCCCUAAGGUGAGGGCGAAAGCCGUAAUCGAUGGGAAUGUGGUUAAUAUUCCACAGCCUGCUUGAAGUGACGAAGGACGUGUAUUGUUGAGGUCGUUAACGGAU
rnacentral:rRNA from 1 species